rnacentral:sRNA from 1 species
UCCCAAAACAAUUCCGCGCCUAUUAAUA